rnacentral:rRNA from 1 species
UACAUGGGGUGCAAACGUUGCUCGGAAUUAUUGGGCGUAAAGCGCACGUAGGCGGUUUGUUAAGUCGGAUGUGAAAGCCCUCGGCUCAACUGAGGAAGUGCACCCGAAACUGGCAGGCUUGAGUACUAAAGAGGGUCGCGGAAUUCCCGGUGUAGAGGUGAAAUUCGUAGAUAUCGGGAGGAACACCGGUGGCGAAGGCGGCGACCUGGGUAGAUACUGACGCUGAGGUGCGAAAGCGUGGGGAGCAAACAGG